rnacentral:rRNA from 1 species
AUUGAACGCUGGCGGCAGGCCUAACACAUGCAAGUCGAACGAGUGGCGGACGGGUGAGUAACACGUGGGAACCUACCCAUCAGAGGGGGAUAACACUUGGAAACGGUAGCUAAUACCGCAUACCAUCAGAUGUGCCCAGAUGGGAUUAGCUUGUUGGUGGGGUAACGGCUCACCAAGGCGACGAUCCCUAGCUGGGCUGAGAGGAUUACCAGCCACACUGGAACGGAUACACGUUCCAGACGCCUACGGGAGGCAGCAGUGGGGAAUAUUGCACAAUGGGCGCAAGCCGGAUGCAGCCAUGCCGCGUGUAUGAAGAAGGCCUUCGGGUUGUAAAGUACUUUCAGCGGGGAGGCGUUACCCGCAGAAGAAGCACCGGCUAACUCCGUGCCAGCAGCCGCGGUAAUAC